UGAAAGAGUUUUAUCACGUGGUCUGUGUGUCCCUGUUCAUCGUGGUUGUGAUGUCCUCUUUGAAUCAUCACAACCUGCAUGAAUGAGGACAGGCUCGCCAUCCUCUCUACACAUCCUUGG
rnacentral:precursor_RNA from 9 species